rnacentral:rRNA from 2 species
GAUCUUCUCCUUCAUGGGAGAUGAUUGAAAGAUGGUUUCGGCUAUCACUUACAGAUGGGCCCGCGGUGCAUUAGCUAGUUGGUGAGGUAACGGCUCACCAAGGCAACGAUGCAUAGCCGACCUGAGAGGGUGAUCGGCCACACUGGGACUGAGACACGGCCCAGACUCCUACGGGAGGCAGCAGUAGGGAAUCUUCCGCAAUGGACGAAAGUCUGACGGAGCAACGCCGCGUGAGUGAUGAAGGCUUUCGGGUCGUAAAACUCUGUUGUUAGGGAAGAACAAGUACAAGAGUAACUGCUUGUACCUUGACGGUACCUAACCAGAAAGCCACGGCUAACUACGUGCCAGCAGCCGCGGUAAUACGUAGGUGGCAAGCGUUAUCCGGAAUUAUUGGGCGUAAAGCGCGCGCAGGCGGUUUCUUAAGUCUGAUGUGAAAGCCCACGGCUCAACCCGUGAGGGUCAUUGGAAACUGGGGAACUUGAGUGCAGAAGAGAAAGCGGAUUCCACGUGUAGCGGUGAAAUGCGUAAGAUGUGGAGGACCACCAGUGGCCGAGGCGGCUUUUGUCUGUACUGACCGCU